rnacentral:antisense_RNA from 1 species
AAGCCGGACGUUCCUGGAGGAGGAGCAGGGCGGGGUUGUGGCAAAGCGCUGUGGGAGCAGAUGGGGCGGGGCUGUGGGAAAGAGCUGGAGAAGGGGAGCCAGGCUGGAGUGAGGCUGGCGUUCUCCCGCAAUGACUUCAUAACCAAGUUCUGGGUCCCUGCCUCUGGAGUGCCUGAUGAGACAAAACGGCUCCUCGUCCUGCAUCCCCGCUGCUACUUCCAGAAUUCAGGCCUCGUGGUCUGGAGCCUGCACUGUUCCAUGAGCCUCCUGACCAACCUGGAGGCCUCUGUCUUUCUUCCCUCAGUGAGAUGUGCCUACUUCUCCCUGGAGACGCUCGAGGAAGCAGGAAUGCUGGAGAUGAGCUGCUCCUCACUCUCACUCCUGGGUGUGCUGGGCAGUGGGGUGCAAUGCGCACGUAGGUGCACACUGUCCCUGGGCGGCAACGAGCAGCAGAGGUCUGAUCUGUGGUCGGGUGAGGAGAGGAAGUCCAAGUAAAGCAGCUGCAGCGAGGCCUCGUCUGCUCAGGGGCUUGUUCUUCUGUCUCUUUCAGAGGCCUCGUCUGCUCAGGGGCUUGUUCUUCUGUCUCUUUGCAGGGCUGUUUUGGACUCAGUAUUCACCUAAGCACUCCAAAUUACCCAGCACACCCUUCCUGCACGGCGCUGUGCUGCACCUUCACUCUGGUCACGGGUCUGGCAGUCGGCUCACCAAUUCCUUCUGCUUUCCUGGGACUCGCCGGCUUUUAGCACUGCAAUUCACUCAGCAAACUGGGACUGUUGGUCACCCUACCUGGCAGCCAGUGAUAAGGUGAGGGCCACUCCUGGGAGGGAGGACACCUGUGGGGAAAAUUCUUGUGUUAUUUAUUUCUCCUUCGGGAUAGGGUGCCUGCAGCGCUUCAUGGGAGGGGGUGGGCUGAUGCUGCGGGCUCAGAAGUUUCAAGGACAUCUGGGGAGACCAGAUAUUCAGAGACCUCCUAGAUGUGCCUGUUCCAUGUAUCAGGGACGCAGGUUUUCCCAACAGGGCUUGUGUCAUUGGCAUGACAGACCUGCCUUGGCUGAGCAUUCACCUGUCUUUGGAGUUCAGCCACCUUAGCAAGUCCGGGGUUUGUUCUUCAGACUUUGCUGCUCGCCCAUUGCCUGGAUCGGGGGCUACUUUGUAAACCGCCAGGAAGACUCCAGUGUUGCUGCUGAAUUUUUAGAUGUUUGUUCAUUGCUCUUGGCCUCUCAUUAAUCCCCUGUGGGUCAUCCAGGAAACAUACUCACCACUGUCUGCUCUCUGAGUUUUCAUUUCCAGGCAUCCGCCCUGCCUGGAUCUCCUCACCUGCCAGGAACUUCCUCUCCACAAGCCGGCCAUCCCAGCAAAAGUUCUAACACCAAAGACAACUGCCUGGGGCAUGAAGGGGAUGUGCUUCCCGGGCAUUUGCUGGCAGGGCGUCUCGUGAUCUCUCGGUAUUGGUGUGAGCACAGCCUGGCAGGAGAGGGCAGAUCUCAGUGCAAAGUAUGUCAAAAAGCAGAUGGAAGCCAGGCCCCCUCCUGAAAGAGGCUCCUUGAAGAUAAUUCUAACAUCUUUGUCAUCAGUGUUGACAUCUCUUGAUUGUAUCCUGUCAUUCCAUUUGAGAUCUUCCUGGUUCUGGCUGGCAUCCUCUGACAUCACUCCAGCAGAAGAAAGGGAAGGAGCACGCUGCAUUACUGCCUGGUCACAAGGUCCCUGUCUGAUCUGCCUUCACUCCACCUUUCAGAGUCUUAUGUUCGUUUUGUGUAUAUUAUCAAGGGGUUUUAGGUCACUUAGUUGGAAGAAUAGGGAAAAGUGUGUCUACUCCAGCUUUAUGGAAGUGGAAAUCUUCUGAGAAAUUUUUUUUGAUACAAAAUAUGUACAAGUACAUAUUUUGUAUCAAAAUAUAUAAUGUACAUGUCCCUUUUGUACAUGUAUAUAAAUUGUAUAUAAGUAUUUAGGGUUAUAAAAAUAACCAAAGACACCAAAAACUGCCACAGGUGGAUUUGAGAAGACAUUGAAAUGCCUCCCUUGCUAAGACAUGCUCAUUCUUGACAGGCUGGGAACCCUGAAAGCUGUAGUGUCACCACUGCCCUGUCCUGUACCUACCUAUCUUUUGACUCAUUUCCUCCAAGCUCAGGUUUUCAGUUUGGGGUAUGUGCCACCUAAAACUGAGCUGUGGAACUGCAGCACAAUCAUCAAAUUCAAAAAAGGCAAGGACAUCUUGCUCAGUUUUUAAGAUAUGCCAUAGAUGGAGUAAACCAAAACCUUUGAUUCCAGAUCCUUAACCCUGAUUAAAAACAACACAACGCUUCAUGCCUAUUUAAAACAUCCCUCGCAAAAGAUGGUUUGAACAUUCCAAGUUGGAAAUACCCAAUCUUUUUAAGUUACAGCACCCUUUUUGAUACAAAAAAUGUGCAUGACAGAAAUUGUACAGUGAGUAGUGUUAUAAAAAUAACCAAACACACC